GCUGCUGUAGCUCAGUUGGCAGAGCGCGUCCUUGGUAAGGACGAGGUCAUCGGUUCAAUCCCGAUCAGCAGCU
rnacentral:tRNA from 2 species